rnacentral:rRNA from 1 species
UACGAAGGGUGCAAGCGUUACUCGGAAUUACUGGGCGUAAAGGGCGCGUAGGCGGUUUGUUAAGUCUGCUGUGAAAUCCCCGGGCUCAACCUGGGAAUGGCAGUGGAUACUGGCAAGCUAGAGUGCGGUAGAGGGUAGUGGAAUUCCCGGUGUAGCAGUGAAAUGCGUAGAGAUCGGGAGGAACACCAGUGGCGAAGGCGGCUACCUGGACCAGCACUGACGCUGAAGCGCGAAAGCGUGGGGAGCAAACAGG